rnacentral:lncRNA from 1 species
CUCCUUUCAUCUUCAUUUGAGAAACCCAACCCACUAACUAAACCUAACUUUAUAAGAAAACUCUAAACCCUAAUCCCCUUUCACUUAUGUUCAGCCGACAUCCCUUAUUCUUCCCUCCCAAAAUUCCUUCUUGCAGCCUUAAUCCCCUUCACAAUUGAAACCACUCCACAAGUUCACUUCCUCUCUCUCUCGGUUAUACCUGCAGACACAAAGAAGUGUGUCUUCUCCAAACACAUAGUCAACCACACCAACCGCACCCCAUCCCCUUGUCUGCUCCGGUCACCGAAGCAGAACCGGUGCCGGUGGUUUUCCGGCCACUCACGCACACCCCGUGUCUCUGAUGAUGAUGAUGCGGCGAUGGUGCAACGAGCGGUGAGAGGAAGGGGAGCUGUCCCUCUCUCCAUCGCCCAAGACGCCGACGAGCUAACGACAAAGCCGUUUUUCCAACCAAACCAGUGGCGGCGGCGGUAGUUUCAUGGCAGAGGCGGCUGUCCAGAUUCCGGUUUCGGGUUCGAGUCAGUCGAUUUCAAUUCAUCGAGUCUCAGUUCGAGGCUCGAUUCAUGCUCGGAGAAGACGACCGGAGAGGAACUCGACGCGACGUUUCUUCUACGUAUUCGACUAAUUGCUCUCGCUCGUUUUCUUGGACUUUCUCAAUCUUACUCGUGCGUUAUUACAAGAAAUCGCAACGCAACCAAAGUUGAUGAUUGAUGACACUAUGAAAAUGGAUAGCGAAGAUGCCUAGAUACUCAUUUAGACGCCUUAAGUUUAAAUCGUUGUAUCAAUUUUGUUAUGUUAUGUUGUCACUUGAAUUUCCUUGUAUGUUUUGACAAUUUAUUUAUGAAAUGAAAUCGGUUGAAUUAAAUAUUGC